CAAUAGCGUAUAUUAAAGUUGUUGCAGUUAAAAAGCUCGUAGUUGGAUUUCUGGUGGGAGCGAUCGGUCUGGCGCUUAGCGCGAGUACUUGCAUCAUCUCCGGCCAUCCUUGGGGAGAGUCUGUCUGGCAUUAGGUUGUCGGGCAGAGGAUCCUCAUCGUUUACUGUGAAAAUAUUAGAGUGUUCAAAGCAGGCUUAUGCCGUUGAAUAUAUUAGCAUGGAAUAAUAAGAUAGGACUUUGGUACUAUUUUGUUGGUUUGCGCACCAAAGUAAUGAUUAAUAGGGACAGUUGGGGGUAUUCGUAUUCCGUUGUCAGAGGUGAAAUUCUUGGAUUUACGGAAGACGAACUACUGCGAAAGCAUUUACCAAGGAUGUUUUCAUUAA
rnacentral:rRNA from 1 species